GACGAACGCUGGCGGCGUGCUUAACACAUGCAAGUCGAACGGAAAGGCCCUGCUUUUGUGGGGUGCUCGAGUGGCGAACGGGUGAGUAACACGUGAGUAACCUGCCCUUGACUUUGGGAUAACUUCAGGAAACUGGGGCUAAUACCGGCUAGGAGCUCCUGCUGCAUGGUGGGGGUUGGAAAGUUUCGGCGGUUGGGGAUGGACUCGCGGCUUAUCAGCUUGUUGGUGGGGUAGUGGCUUACCAAGGCUUUGACGGGUAGCCGGCCUGAGAGGGUGACCGGCCACAUUGGGACUGAGAUACGGCCCAGACUCCUACGGGAGGCAGCAGUGGGGAAUAUUGCACAAUGGUCGGAAGCCUGAUGCAGCAACGCCGCGUGCGGGAUGACGGCCUUCGGGUUGUAAACCGCUUUCGCCUGUUACGAAGCGUGAGUGACGGUAAUGAGUAAAGAAGCACCGGCUAACUACGUG
rnacentral:rRNA from 1 species